rnacentral:rRNA from 1 species
UCAGCAGCCGCGGUAAUACGAAGGAUGCAAGCGUUAUCCGGAUUUAUUGGGUUUAAAGGGAGCGUAGGCGGUCUUAUAAGUCAGUGGUGAAAUCUCGUUGCUUAACAACGAACGUGCCAUUGAUACUGUAGGACUUGAGUACAGAUGCCGUUGGCGGAAUGUGUCAUGUAGCGGUGAAAUGCAUAGAUAUGACACAGAACACCGAUUGCGAAGGCAGCUGACGAAACUGUAACUGACGCUGAGGCUCGAAAGCGUGGGGAUCAAACAGGAUUAGAUACCCUGGUAGUCCACGCCCUAAACUAUGAUUACUCGUUGUGUGCGAUAUACCGUACGUAACUAAGCGAAAGCGUUAAGUAAUCCACCUGGGGAGUACGCCCGCAAGGGUGAAACUUAAAGGAAUUGGCGGGGGAU